rnacentral:rRNA from 1 species
GACGUAGGGCGCGAGCGUUGUCCGGAUUUAUUGGGCGUAAAGAGCUCGUAGGCGGCUUGUCGCGUCGAAUGUGAAAUCUCGGGGCUCAACUCCGAGCUUGCAUUCGAUACGGGCAGGCUAGAGUUCGGUAGGGGAGACUGGAAUUCCUGGUGUAGCGGUGAAAUGCGCAGAUAUCAGGAGGAACACCGGUGGCGAAGGCGGGGUCUCUGGGCCGAUACUGACGCUGAGGAGCGAAAGCGUGGGGAGCGAACAGG